GAAAUUAUGUUCCUGCUUCCACUUUUCCUCUUGGCCUUGACUUUUUUCAUCUUCAAUAUUUUCAGAUCAUCAAAAACCACACAACUUCCACCAGGAUCAACACCAUGGCCAGUCAUAGGUAGUAUUUUUCAAAUGGUAAAAAUGCCUCACAUAACUCUGACAAAUUUAGCAAAAACUUAUGGCCCUGUUAUGUCCCUAAAGCUUGGAACUAAAUGGUUAGUUGUUGGAUCAUCAUCUCUUGCUGCUAUAGAAAUCCUCAAAACCCAUGAUAGAAUUCUGUCAGGGAGAGAUGUUCCAAAU
rnacentral:misc_RNA from 1 species